UGGGGAAUUUUGGACAAUGGGCGAAAGCCUGAUCCAGCAAUGCCGCGUGUGUGAAGAAGGCCUUCGGGUUGUAAAGCACUUUUGUCCGGAAAGAAAUCCUUGGCUCUAAUACAGUCGGGGGAUGACGGUACCGGAAGAAUAAGCACCGGCUAACUACGUGCCAGCAGCCGCGGUAAUACGUAGGGUGCAAGCGUUAAUCGGAAUUACUGGGCGUAAAGCGUGCGCAGGCGGUUUGCUAAGACCGAUGUGAAAAUCCCCGGGCUCAACCUGGGAACUGCAUUGGUGACUGGCAGGCUAGAGUAUGGCAGAGGGGGGUAGAAUUCCACGUGUAGCAGUGAAAUGCGUAGAGAUGUGGAGGAAUACCGAUGGCGAAGGCAGCCCCCUGGGCCAAUACUGACGCUCAUGCACGAAAGCGUGGGGAGCAAAACAGGAUUAGAUACCCUGGUAGUCCACGCCCUAAAACGAUGUCAACUAGUUGUUGGGGGAUUCAUUUCCUUAGUAACGUAGCUAACGCGUGAAGUUGACCGCCUGGGGAGUACGGUCGCAAGAUUAAAACUCAAAUGAAUUGACGGGGUCAUAGCUG
rnacentral:rRNA from 1 species